rnacentral:rRNA from 1 species
CCUACGGGAGGCUGCAGUGAGGAAUAUUGGUCAAUGGUCGGGAGACUGAACCAGCCAAGCCGCGUGAGGGAGGAAGGUACAGAGUAUCGUAAACCUCUUUUGUCAGGGAACAAAGGCGGGGACGUGUCCCCGGAUGAGUGUACCUGAAGAAAAAGCAUCGGCUAACUCCGUGCCAGCAGCCGCGGUAAUACGGAGGCUGCGAGCGUUAUCCGGAUUUAUGGGGUUAAAGGGGUGCGCAGGCGGUCUGUAAAGUCAGCGGUCAAAGCCCGGGGCUCACCCCCGGCCCGCCGUUGAAACUGGCAGUCUCGAGUUGGAGAGAAGUAUGCGGAAUGCGCGGUGUAGCGGUGAAAUGCAUAGAUAUCGCGCAGAACUCCGAUUGCGAAGGCAGCAUGCCGGCUCCACACUGACGCUGAGGCACGAAAGCGUGGGUAUCGAACAGGAUUAGAUACCCGGGUAGUC